rnacentral:tRNA from 5 species
CGGGGCGUGGCGCAGUCUGGUAGCGCACCAGUCUGGGGGACUGGUGGUCGUCGGUUCAAAUCCGGCCGCCCCGACCA